rnacentral:rRNA from 1 species
UUCCGGUUGAUCCCGCCGGAGGUUACUGCUAUCGAGGUUCGACUAAGCCAUGCGAGUCGAAUGCCGCAAGGCAUGGCGUACUGCUCAGUAACACGUGGACAACCUACCCUUAGGUCGGGGAUAACCCCGGGAAACUGGGUAUAAUACCCGAUAGUCCUCGAAUGCUGGAAUGCACCGAGGACGAAAGCUCCGGUGCCUAAGGAUGGGUCUGCGGCCUAUCAGGUAGUAGUGGGUGUAGCGUACCUACUAGCCUACGACGGGUACGGGUUGUGAGAGCAAGAGCCCGGAGAUGGAUUCUGAGACACGAAUCCAGGCCCUACGGGGUGCAGCAGGCGCGAAAACUUUACAAUGCUGGCAACAGCGAUAAGGGAACCUCGAGUGCCAGGUUACAAAUCUGGCUGUCGAGAUGCCUAAAAAGCAUUUCAUAGCAAGGGCCGGGCAAGACCGGUGCCAGCCGCCGCGGUAACACCGGCGGCUCGAGUGGUAACCGUUAUUAUUGGGUCUAAAGGGUCUGUAGCCGGCCGGAUAAGUCUCUUGGGAAAUCUGGCAGCUCAACUGUCAGGCUAUCAGGAGAUACUGUCUGGCUCGAGGCCGGGAGAGGUGAGAGGUACUUCAGGGGUAGGGGUGAAAUCUUGUAAUCCUUGAGGGACCACCAGUGGCGAAGGCGUCUCACCAGAACGGACCUGACGGCAAGGGACGAAAGCUAGGGGCACGAACCGGAUUAGAUACCCGGGUAGUCCUAGCCGUAAACGAUACUCGCUAGGUGUCGGCCACGGUGCGACCGUGGUCGGUGCCGUAGGGAAGCCGUGAAGCGAGCCACCUGGGAAGUACGGCCGCAAGGCUGAAACUUAAAGGAAUUGGCGGGGGAGCACCACAACGGGUGGAGCUUGCGGUUUAAAUGGAUUCAACGCCGGG